GACCCCCCUGAGGCUCCGAACGGAUCGGCGCCCAAAGGUAAGCGCGCUCUCUGCGUUGGUGAAUGAAAGCCGCGGCAUACCGGCAGGGAAAGGGCGGACUGGAAUGUUGCGCCACCGAGUUAGAGUGCUGGAGUGUUUUUUCGCCUUCUCGCCGCCGUUGCUGCUGGGGCUGGAGAUGGGGAUGGUCCGCGCACUGGCGCCAUCACGUGUUUUUCUCCUACGAGUGAGACGGAGCGGCGGCGGCUGGAGGGGGCUGGACUCAUAAACAGAGACGCAGCCGCUUGUUUUGGUUUGGGGCUCUUCAGAAAAGUCUGCGGGGCUGCACCUACAGCAGCCGCCGCCAGCAGCCCAAGAAGAGAGACAGCGAGCGGCUGCGUGUUUUUCCCUCGCCUCCUUCGUUCUGGGGCGCGCGAGGAGGAAGAGGACGUAGCGGUGCAGGAAGAAAGGGUUCCUGCUGCUCCCUGCCGCCGUCGCCACCGUUGCUCCUGCGGCGAGCGCCCUCCGAGACUUUCCCGACUGGAAUGAAGAAGAGGAGGAGGAGGUGGACGCAGUCGCCGCCGCGAGGAUGUUCCUGCUCCUCCUCCUCCACUCGGGCAGCUUUCCCUCCUCGCGUUCUUCACCUCCUUCCCUACUCUCGCCCCUGCUGCAGCCGCUUCCUUACAUUUUGUGUUGAAAUGGCACUUUCUCUUCCUAACCAGAUGGGACUGAAUGGGGUCGCCAGCCUUCUCCUCCUGCUGCACAAGCUGAAGAAGCUGAAAUCUCAGCGCUGAUUUGGGGAUAUUUGUUUUGUUUGGAUUCUUCCCGCGCCUCCCUCUUCCCCUCCCGCGAAGGAUAUUUUGACUGACUUUUUUUUUUUGGCGGGGAAGAAUACAUGGUGGCUUGUGUGGUGUUUUGACUGACUGGCUUGAUUCUUAGGAAUGAUUAUUUUUUGAAAAAGCGUUGCCUGUGUUCGACUGAGACUUUUUUUCUUACCCUUUUUUUUGCAACACAAAUCUUCUCUUCCCCCCCUCACCCCCCCUGCGCCCUUCCCUCCCGAGAGGAUAUUUAAUCGGCAACUGAAAUUUGCUUCUUGCUGAGGGGUAACUUGAGAAGGGGAGGGGGCUGUUUGUUUGGGAGAGAAGCGACGGGGGAACCCCAUCCAGCUCCCGUCGCUAGAGGGAUUUCCACCCCGUACGGAUGAAAUUAUGCACUUCUCCCCUUUCCCGGUGGCGGCUGGAGGAGGCUUUUCUACACUGGACUUUUGAAAGCCACGUUUCUCCUGCGAAGGGUGAUUUGGGAAUAAAAACAGCAACUCAAUCUCGGCUUCUGGAGCUGGAAGAAAGCUCUGGUCACUGAACAGCUGUUGGUUGCCUGCUGCUGUCCUAUCCCGUUUUUGGAAAAGGGGGGGGAGUGCUAUUUUGCUGGGAUUUUUGUUUUUGAUUGCUGCUGCAUGAAUUGUACUUUGGGCUGCUGCGUUCAUUCUUUUUUCUCCCUCGCCUCACUCUGCUGUUUUGGAAGCUGCCCCUUACAGUAGGAGCUGCUCUGCCACCUCUGUCCUUUCGGCAUGGCGAGUCCCACAGAUAAUAAUGAGGGCUUCUUCUCAGAUGUCAGAAAGGUGGGUUACUUGCGCAAACCCAAGAGCAUGCACAAGCGCUUCUUCGUGCUGAGGGCAGCCAGCGAGUCGGGACCCGCCCGGCUGGAGUACUAUGAGAAUGAAAAGAAAUGGAGGCACAAGUCAGGGGCUCCAAAGCGCUCUAUCCCACUAGAGAGCUGCUUCAACAUCAACAAGAGGGCAGACUCCAAAAAUAAGUAUCUUGUGGCACUCUACACUAAGGAUGAGCACUUUGCCAUUGCUGCUGACAGUGAGCCUGAGCAAGAAAGCUGGUACCAGGCGCUGCUACAACUGCACAACCGGGCCAAGAGCCAUCAGCAGCACCACCACCACCAUCACCACCACCAUGGGGAUGUCACGAUGGGUGGUGGGAGUGUUGGGAUGGGAGAGGCAGGGGAAGAUACCUAUGGUGAUAUGGCUCCUGGCCCGGCUUUCAAAGAAGUUUGGCAAGUGAUUUUGAAACCCAAGGGUCUGGGUCAGACUAAGAAUCUGAUUGGCAUCUACCGCCUGUGCCUGACCAAUAAGACCAUCAGUUUUGUCAAGCUGAACUCUGAUGCAGCAGCUGUGGUGUUGCAGCUGCUUAACAUCCGGAGGUGUGGCCACUCAGAGAACUUUUUUUUUAUCGAGGUGGGGCGUUCUGCUGUCACCGGACCAGGUGAGUUCUGGAUGCAGGUAGAUGACUCGGUAGUAGCGCAGAACAUGCACGAGACCAUCUUGGAGGCUAUGCGGGCCAUGAGUGAGGAAUUUCGGCCCCGUAGCAAAAGCCAAUCCUCUUCCAAUUGCUCCAAUCCCAUAUCUGUGCCUCUCCGCAGCAGGCAUCACAUAAACAACCCCCCUCCCAGCCAGGUGGGGCUCAGCCGUAGGUCCAGAACUGAAAGUGUGACAGCUACCUCUCCUGCUGGCAGUGGGGUGGGAGGUGGAGGAGGGACUGGGGGCAAGCCCAACUCUUUCCGUGUCAGAGCCUCCAGUGAUGGAGAAGGCACUAUGUCGAGGCCAGCUUCGGUGGAUGGAAGUCCAGUUAGCCCAAGUGCCAAUCGGACCCACUCACACAGGCACCGUGGCAGCUCUAGGCUUCACCCCCCUCUCAACCACAGCCGCUCCAUCCCAAUGCCUUCCUCACGCUGCUCCCCUUCUGCCACGAGCCCGGUCAGCUUGUCAUCCAGCAGCACCAGUGGCCACGGCUCCACCUCAGACUGCCUCUUCCCGCGUCGGUCCAGUGCUUCGGUCUCUGGCUCCCCCAGUGAUGGGGGCUUCAUCUCGUCUGACGAGUAUGGAUCCAGCCCCUGUGACUUCUGCAGCUCCUUCCGCAGCGUUACCCCUGAUUCCCUGGGACACACCCCGCCUGCCCGGGGAGAUGAGGAGCUGAGCAACUACAUAUGCAUGGGGGGAAAGGCUGCCUCAUCUUGUUGCAGCAUCACUGCUCCUAAUGGCCAUUUCAACCCCCGCACUUGCCAUCCUCAGCAGCAAACACGCUGCCCUGGUGCCCCAUGUUGCUCCCGUCUUGGUGGUGAGGAUGUGGGUGAGCUGGAGAAAGGAUUCAGGAAGCGGACUCAUUCAGCUGGUACCUCCCCUACCAUCUCCCACCAGAAGACUCCCUCGCAGUCCUCGGUAGCCUCCAUUGAGGAAUAUACUGAGAUGCUCCCCUCGUAUUCCUGUGGCAACAGCAGGCUCUCCUCUUAUCGACAUUCUGCAUUUGUACCAACCCAUUCUUACCCCGAGGAGCAUCUAGAGAUGCAUCAGGGGGAGGGCAACCACCACCGGACCAACUCUGCCCCACGCACUGAUGAUGGGUACAUGCCAAUGUUGCCAGGAGUGGCCCCUGUUCCCAAUGGUGGUAAUACCCCCAAAGGUGGUGAUUAUAUGCCAAUGAGUCCUAAGAGUGUGUCUGCCCCACAGCAGAUAAUCAACCCUGGGAGAGGAGGUCGUCAUGUACAGGCCAUGGUGGACUCCAAUGGCUAUAUGAUGAUGUCCCCCAGUGGCAGUUGCUCUCCAGACAGUGGUUCUGCUGGCUACAGCAAGCUAUGGAUGAAUGGGGCUAGCCACCACCCCAAGCUGUCAGUGGAGAGUAAUGAAGGAAAGCUGCCAAGUGGUGGGAGCGAUUACAUCAACAUGUCUCCAGCCAGUGGCUCUGCUACUAGCACCCCUCCAGAUUGCUACUUCACCAGCUCAGGUCCUCCAGGUCCAGAAGAGCCAUCCAUGCAGGACCCCAACCAGUCCCAUCACAAACCCAUCUACUCCUACUUCUCUCUGCCACGUUCCUUCAAACAUAUGCCACGCAGGACAGGUGAAGAGGGAAAUCCCCAGAUGCGCAUGUCCUUCAGCUCUGGUCACUUGCUUUAUGCUGCUGCUGAGGACUCCUCCUCCUCCACGAGUAGUGAUAGCCUUGGUGGCCCUGCGGGACAGGAGGGUGGGGGUUAUUCUCUUCCCACUCAAACACAGCCAUUGCAGCCUGCUCCUCCUUGUACUGUGGAUAUGGCUGCGCGGACCAAGAGCCGUCUGGCCAGACCUACCCGCCUGUCCUUGGAUGGCCCAAAGGCCAGCACUUUGCCUCGCACUCGGGAACAGGUCCCAGAGCCCAAAAGCCCUGGUGAGUAUGUGAACAUUGAAUUCAAGCAACCAGCCUUCCCAUCACCUUUGCCCCAUGGAGACACUGGCUCCAGUUUAGAGGAGUAUAUGAAUAUGGAUUGGGGGGCUGCCUGCCCAGCCAGCUUGGCAUCCAUGCAACCACGCCAGGCUGGGGCAGGCCCCACUGGUGGCCGUGACUAUAUGAGCAUGCAGCUGGACAAUGGGGGGCAGUAUGUAGGCUGUGCCCACACCCGCUCACCUUCCCCUCCAGCUCUUCUGCUCAGCUAUGCCAACAUGAGGAUGGGCCAUGGUAGGCCUGAGAAAAGCUUGCCAUCUGUGGCGCUUCCUUCCCCACAUCCCCAGACUCAGCCAGGUGAGCUGCCUGUGAUCUUGCCCCACUCCUGUUCCUCGUCCAUGAUGGGGGCCCCAGGGAUGAGCAGCGCCUUUACACACGUCAGCCCUAGCCGCAGCAGCCAGAGUGCCAAAGUGAUCCGCGCUGACCCACAGGGAGGCCGUCGUCGUCACAGCUCUGAGACGUUUGCUUCCUCCACCACCCCUAGUGGUGGCCUCGGUGCCUCAGCACCACCCCAUGGACCAGGAGGAGGUCCUGAGGAUGCAAAGCGCCAUAGCUCAGCCUCCUUUGAAAAUGUCUGGCUCAAGCCUACGUCUGGGGAGCUGGGGACCUUCUCUGCCCUUGGCAUGGCAAUCAGGAGGGAGCAGGCUGCUGGUGGGACUGGGGGAGGUGUUGAGAAUGGGCUCAAUUACAUCGACCUGGACUUGGUGAAGGAUUUUAAUCGCCACCAACAUCACCACCCUCACCCUCAGGAGAGUACUUCUCUGCUAGGGGUCAAGCAGCCAACGCAGCAGCAGCAGCCACAGAAAUCUCCUAAUCAGCCUUGUGGGAGUAGCCACUUGAGUGAUGAAUUAAGUGCAUAUGCCAGCAUCAGCUUCCACAAGCGGGAGGACAUCCAGUAGCUGGGCGAGAGCCAGAGACAAGACAGUGAUUGUCUCCCAAAGUGUGUCACAUCAAUAAAAGAGUGAUUGAGAGAAGGAGGCUCUACCAUCAGGUUUACAGACUAAAAAGGCAAGAUGCACAAGGGAAGGGAAGCGGAGUGCUUCAAGAUGUGAAUAAAGUGGUGAACUACAAGCAGGCAUUUCUAUCCAGAGCGAUGACCUAUACAACCUCAGAGAAAUCCUUCUUUGAACCAUGGGUAUCAAGACUCUGUUUUGUGUAUCACAACUAGGACCUCACAUCUUCUUUCCCAGUAGAUGGGUACGAUGCAUCCAGUUCAAUUUGUUUACUUUACACAAACCUCAGGAGUUAGUUGACUGAACUGCACGUUCUUCGUUUUCUUCUCCUUUUCCCCCUCUUGUGCCAAGCAAAAGCACUGUGACAUCUGGACAAUGAGUUUAUGAUUACUUCCUCCUCCUACCAUAAAAGCUGGUUACAGUGAACUAAUGUGCCCACCACUGUAAAAUGGUGAGAAUGAGUAUACUACUAGCUCAUUUACAUAAGACAUGACAUUUUAAUUUGCUGCUGAAAAACCUGUAUGACAAAUCAUCAGUGUAAAUUAUUACAUAUGAACUGUUAAUGUUGGUUGAAGAGUAUUAAAUAUUUAACAUAGGUUUUUGAUUUAUACAUGUACUUUUUUAAUUAAAAAUGUAACUUUUCCUACAGCACAUCUUUUUUUGAUGUGGAACUGAGGUAUACUAUAUUCUGUUGUAAACAGAGUGGGGUUGGGGUGGGGAAAACUGUUAAAAAUAAGGCAAUUUAAGAAUAGAGUAGGGUACUAUUCUUUUUAAGAUUGUAAUUCAGAAUAUAAUAUAAUAUGAAUCAGUGGGCCCGUGGAUCUGGAUUGUACAGUCACAUUUACUGAUAUCAUCGUUUGUAAGAUAACUCUGCGACUGAGCUGAAUUCUUUCAAAAAUAAAAUAAUAUUUUGUACUCUUCCUGUAAAACAUUAGGCUGUAUUAAUGAAAAUGCAAAGUUAACUGUGCAUGUAUUUACAAGUGUGAAUUUGAAAUUGUUCAUUGCACAGGAAAUUUUAAAACAUCAGAAAAAUAAAUCUAAGUCUUCCAUUGUAUAUAUAUAUAUAUAUAUAUAUAUAUUGAAGAAGAAAACAAAUGAAACAUGGGUGAACACUUCAAAUCAAAAUAUCCUUGGAAUGAAAUAUGUGGGUGUUUGUAAAUUCUGGAAAUCUCUUUCUAUACAUAAUAAACUAGAUACUGUUUUAUCUUUA